CCUCGGUAGUUCUAUGGUUCGGGAGACCCUGUCUUCCUUCCGUGGCUCUACGUCUUUACACACACACGACGUCUCAUGGAAUGUUUUUCGCGUUUAACGCAAUNCAAUACAACUUUCAGCAACGGAUCUCUUGGCUCUCGCAUCGAUGAAGAACGCAGCGAAAUGCGAUAAGUAAUGUGAAUUGCAGAAUUCAGUGAAUCAUCGAAUCUUUGAACGCACCUUGCGCCCCUUGGUUAUUCCUUGGGGCAUGCCUGUUUGAGUAUCAUGAACACCUCAACUCUCAUGGUCUUCCAUGACGAGCUUGGACUUUGGAGGUUUGCUGGCCCUGCGGCCGGCUCCUCUCAAACAAAUCAGCUUGCCAGUGUUUGGCGGCAUCUCACGGGUGUGAUAACUAUCUACGCUCGCGGUUGUCUGCCAGGUAACCCUCAGCGAUGAAGGUUCAUUGGGGCUCAUAAACGUCUCUCCUCGGCGAGGACAGCUUUUGAACGUUCGAUCUCAAAUCAGGUAGGACUACCCGCUGA
rnacentral:rRNA from 1 species